rnacentral:rRNA from 1 species
CAGCACCUCAAGUGGUCAGGAUGAUUAUUGGGCCUAAAGCAUCCGUAGCCGGCGCUGUAAGUUUUCGGUUAAAUCUGUACGCUCAACGUACAGGCUGCCGGGAAUACUGCAGCGCUAGGGAGUGGGAGAGGUAGACGGUACUCGGUAGGAAGGGGUAAAAUCCUUUGAUCUAUUGAUGACCAGCUGUGGCGAAGGCGGUCUACCAGAACACGUCCGACGGUGAGGGAUGAAAGCUGGGGGAGCAAACCGGAUUAGAUACCCGAGUAGUCC